UCGACGGUGACCUCGGAGCUUGCUCCGGGCGAUCAGUGGCGAACGGGUGAGUAACACGUGAGUAACCUGCCCUUGACUCUGGGAUAAGCCCGGGAAACUGGGUCUAAUACCGGAUACGCGACGAGAAGGCAUCUUCAUCGUCGGGAAAGAAUUUCGGUCAAGGAUGGACUCGCGGCCUAUCAGCUUGUUGGUGAGGUAAUGGCUCACCAAGGCGACGACGGGUAGCCGGCCUGAGAGGGCGACCGGCCACACUGGAACUGAGACACGGUCCAGACUCCUACGGGAGGCAGCAGUGGGGAAUAUUGCACAAUGGGCGCAAGCCUGAUGCAGCGACGCCGCGUGGGGGAUGAAGGCCUUCGGGUUGUAAACCCCUUUCAGCAGGGAAGAAGCGAAAGUGACGGUACCUGCAGAAGAAGCGCCGGCUAACUACGUGCCAGCAGCCACGGUAAUACGUAGGGCGCAAGCGUUGUCCGGAAUUAUUGGGCGUAAAGAGCUCGUAGGCGGUUCGUCGCGUCUGCCGUGAAAGCCCGAGGCUCAACCUCGGGUCUGCGGUGGGUACGGGCGGACUAGAGUGUGGUAGGGGAGACUGGAAUUCCUGGUGUAGCGGUGGAAUGCGCAGAUAUCAGGAGGAACACCAAUGGCGAAGGCAGGUCUCUGGGCCACAACUGACGCUGAGGAGCGAAAGCGUGGGUAGCAAACAGGAUUAGAUACCCUGGUAGUCCACGCCGUANACGGUGGGCACUAGAUGUGGGGNUCAUUCCACGAGUUCCGCGUCGCAGCUAACGCAUUAAGUGCCCCGCCUGGGGAGUACGGCCGCAAGGCUAANACUCAAAGGAAUUGACGGGGGCNCG
rnacentral:rRNA from 1 species